UACGGGGGGGGCAAGCGUUGUUCGGAAUUCCUGGGCGUAAAGGGCUCGUAGGUGGCCAACUCAGUCAGACGUGAAAUCCCUCAGCUUAACUGGGGAACUGCGUCUGAUACUGGAUGGCUUGAGUUUGGGAGAGGGAUGCGGAAUUCCAGGUGUAGCGGUGAAAUGCGUAGAUAUCUGGAGGAACACCGGUGGCGAAGGCGGCAUCCUGGGCCAACACUGACACUGAUGAGCGAAAGCCAGGGGAGCAAACGGG
rnacentral:rRNA from 1 species